rnacentral:rRNA from 1 species
UACGUAGGUGGCAAGCGUUGUCCGGAUUUAUUGGGCGUAAAGGGCGCGUAGGCGGCCUUUCAAGUGACGGGUGAAAUCCCUCGGCUUAACCGAGGAACUGCCUGUCAGACUGGAAGGCUUGAGACCGGGAGAGGUGAGUGGAAUUCCCAGUGUAGCGGUGAAAUGCGUAGAUAUUGGGAGGAACACCAGUGGCGAAGGCGGCUCACUGGACCGGUACUGACGCUGAGGCGCGAAAGCGUGGGGAGCAAACAGG